GACGAACGCUGGCGGCGUGCUUAACACAUGCAAGUCGAGCGGUAAGGCCCUUUUGGGGGUACACGAGCGGCGAACGGGUGAGUAACACGUGGGUGACCUGCCCUCAGCUCUGGGAUAAGCCUGGGAAACUGGGUCUAAUACUGGAUAUGACCUUUCCUCGCAUGGGGGUUGGGUGGAAAGUUUUUCGGCUGGGGAUGGGCCCGCGGCCUAUCAGCUUGUUGGUGGGGUGAUGGCCUACCAAGGCGACGACGGGUAGCCGGCCUGAGAGGGCGACCGGCCACACUGGGACUGAGACACGGCCCAGACUCCUACGGGAGGCAGCAGUGGGGAAUAUUGCGCAAUGGGCGGAAGCCUGACGCAGCGACGCCGC
rnacentral:rRNA from 1 species